rnacentral:rRNA from 1 species
CCCUACGGGGGGCAGCAGUAGGGAAUCUUCCACAAUGGGCGAAAGCCUGAUGGAGCAACGCCGCGUGUGUGAUGAAGGCUUUCGGGUCGUAAAGCACUGUUGUAUGGGAAGAACAGCUAGAAUAGGAAAUGAUUUUAGUUUGACGGUACCAUACCAGAAAGGGACGGCUAAAUACGUGCCAGCAGCCGCGGUAAUACGUAUGUCCCGAGCGUUAUCCGGAUUUAUUGGGCGUAAAGCGAGCGCAGACGGUUUAUUAAGUCUGAUGUGAAAGCCCGGAGCUCAACUCCGGAAUGGCAUUGGAAACU